rnacentral:pre_miRNA from 1 species
UGAUGAUGAUGAUGAUGAUGAUGAUGAUGAUGAUGAUGGUGGUGAUGGUGAUGAUGAUGGCGGUCGUGAUGAAUAUUAACAACAUUAUGAAGAUAUAUUAUAUUAACCACCAUCACCAUCAUCAUCAUCAUCACCUGCA